UUAUGGAGAAAAGGAAAAAUUUAUCCAGUUUUUUGCGAUGAUAUGAACAACAAAGAUGCUUUACAUGAUGAAUUUCAGUGGAUUGGUAAAGAAAUACAUAUUUGGGUAAAUUGCGUUGGCGAUUGGAUACCUAAAACCUUAAAUAAUUAUCUUUGUACAGUAACUAUUGAAACUCUUCUAGAAAAAGAAUUUCCGGGUUUGGCUCUCUGUACAAAAAGUAUAUCCAGAUAUAUGAAUGAACUGGAUAAACAUUGUUGCAUAUUUAAUGUUACAUGUUUAUCAAAGGAUACACUUAGAUCUAAUCCUUCUAGAGUUCAAUCCGCAGAAAAUGUUUUGAACUAUUUAUCUGGUCUUCUUUGUAGAGAAAUCUCUAAAACACCGCUUCUAUAUCAAAACAAAAUCAAUAUGAGAAAUGUUGUGCCUUGCGAGGCAAAAUGUGGAUGGGGUUGUGCCAAAUAUUCAUCGCCGAGGGAAGUUUCGGCAGCAAUCCAGUGGGCACUUAAUACAUUAACUAAGUCUAAAGAGGUUGUAGUGUGCCACAAAUAUAAAAAUAUAUAUGCAGGAUUGGUAUCUAUUUCAGGAUGGCCUAAAUAUUGAAGAUUUAUUUAAAUUCUAAUAUCUAACAUCUUAUAUCUAAGAACAUCUAAUUUUGGUUUUGUGUUGUUUUCUUCAAUAUAAACGAUAUUUACUUUA